rnacentral:misc_RNA from 1 species
GCGGAGGGUCACCGCUGCUGCUUGCUUCUCUUUGGUAUUCUCCGCUGCCGUUGCCGCUCUCUUGUAAAGCUCAGUCAUCGCUUCGUUUUCUCGUGCGCGCGUGGCAGCAUGCCCGUUUCUCGUCGUUCGACAGUUGUCUCGCCCCCCUUGAUGGUGGGAGGGGGAGACGGAGGACGCCGCCGUGAGCGGUAUCGCAGGGCCCAGUGCACCUCCCACUCUGUCUGCGGGGGGAGGGGGGGGGCUGGGCAGCCCCUCCUCUAUCCCCCCUCAUCGCUGCCAACGCCGAACCACUUCUGGUGGUGACAGGGCCAGGCACCCACGACACGGUGUGGAGGACAGAGCGAUGAAUCGCUGCUGACGUCGGCGGCCCGGUCCUGGGUGGGGUGGCGUCGGAGCGCCCCGCGACCGUGAAGAGGUCUGUGCCACACCCACCUGAUAGGCAGAGUGCCCGCGUGACUCGAGCGUGUGUCCCACCGGGCCCCUCGCAGGGCCGACGGCUGGUGUGGGGCGCCGGAGUGCCACCCCGGGGGAGAUGCACCCGGUGGCGACCGGCAUAGUGGGGUGGGUAGAGUUUUUAGGCGCCGGGGCCGUGCUGUCCGAUGAACGGGUCGGCGCAUUGCUGUGCCGGCGUGUGUCUACGGCUGCUCUGCACCGCGCGAUGGGCCCUGUGACAGGCCAGGGGAGGAGGUGGGGAGGGGGAGAGGAGUCACGCGGAGUUGGACCUCCUGCUGUGUGGCAGAGCGAAUGGACGCAUCAAGGAAGAGAUAAAGAAAAGAAAACCAUGUGUCCGGUCAACUUCGCUUGUGUCACUUCUCUCUGUGCCAACAACAUCGCUCAUGUAAUGAAUGAUGCUGAUGGUAGUGUGCGUGUGAGCUUUACUUCUGCUUCUUGUUUUAUCUCGCCGUUAUCUCCUGGUACCCCUCGUGGUGGUGGUAUUGGCUGUCCUCUUUCCUCGUCCUUUUCGUGGCUUUCCCUUCCCGUCCCUUGCAG